AGAGUUUGAUCCUGGCUCAGGAUGAACGCUAGCUACAGGCUUAACACAUGCAAGUCGCGGGGUAACAUCUGGUAGAGCUUGCUCUUCCAGGAUGACGACCGGCGCACGGGUGAGUAACGCGUAUCCAACCUGGCCCAUACCACGGGAUAGCCCGUCGAAAGGCGGAUUAAUACCGUAUGCUGUCAUUAAGAUGCAUAUAUUGAUGACGAAAGGACUGGCGGUAUGGGAUGGGGAUGCGUCUGAUUAGCUUGUUGGCGGGGUAACGGCCCACCAAGGCGACGAUCAGUAGGGGUUCUGAGAGGAAGGUCCCCCACAUUGGUACUGAGACACGGACCAAACUCCUACGGGAGGCAGCAGUGAGGAAUAUUGGUCAAUGGCCGAGAGGCUGAACCAGCCAAGUCGCGUGAAGGAAGAAGGAUCUAUGGUUUGUAAACUUCUUUUAUAGGGGAAUAAAGUGGAGGACGUGUCCUUUUUUGUAUGUACCCUAUGAAUAAGCAUCGGCUAACUCCGUGCCAGCAGCCGCGGUAAUACGGAGGAUGCGAGCGUUAUCCGGAUUUAUUGGGUUUAAAGGGUGCGUAGGUGGUGAUUUAAGUCAGCGGUGAAAGUUUGUGGCUCAACCAUAAAAUUGCCGUUGAAACUGGGUUACUUGAGUGUGUUUGAGGUAGGCGGAAUGCGUGGUGUAGCGGUGAAAUGCAUAGAUAUCACGCAGAACUCCGAUUGCGAAGGCAGCUUACUAAACCAUAACUGACACUGAAGCACGAAAGCGUGGGGAUCAAACAGGAUUAGAUACCCUGGUAGUCCACGCAGUAAACGAUGAUUACUAGGAGUUUGCGAUACAGUGUAAGCUCUACAGCGAAAGCGUUAAGUAAUCCACCUGGGGAGUACGCCGGCAACGGUGAAACUCAAAGGAAUUGACGGGGGCCCGCACAAGCGGAGGAACAUGUGGUUUAAUUCGAUGAUACGCGAGGAACCUUACCCGGGUUUGAACGUAGUCUGACCGGAGUGGAAACACUCUUUCUAGCAAUAGCAGAUUACGAGGUGCUGCAUGGUUGUCGUCAGCUCGUGCCGUGAGGUGUCGGCUUAAGUGCCAUAACGAGCGCAACCCUUAUCACUAGUUACUAACAGGUGAAGCUGAGGACUCUGGUGAGACUGCCAGCGUAAGCUGUGAGGAAGGUGGGGAUGACGUCAAAUCAGCACGGCCCUUACAUCCGGGGCGACACACGUGUUACAAUGGCAUGGACAAAGGGCAGCUACCUGGUGACAGGAUGCUAAUCUCCAAACCAUGUCUCAGUUCGGAUCGGAGUCUGCAACUCGACUCCGUGAAGCUGGAUUCGCUAGUAAUCGCGCAUCAGCCAUGGCGCGGUGAAUACGUUCCCGGGCCUUGUACACACCGCCCGUCAAGCCAUGGGAGCCGGGGGUACCUGAAGUCCGUAACCGCAAGGAUCGGCCUAGGGUAAAACUGGUGACUGGGGCUAAGUCGUAACAAGGUA
rnacentral:rRNA from 1 species